rnacentral:rRNA from 1 species
UACAGAGGUCUCAAGCGUUGUUCGGAUUCAUUGGGCGUAAAGGGUGUGUAGGUGGCGCCGUAAGUCAGGUGUGAAAUCUCGGGGCUUAACUCCGAAACUGCAUUUGAUACUGCGGUGCUUGAGGACUGGAGAGGAGACUGGAAUUUAUGGUGUAGCAGUGAAAUGCGUAGAUAUCAUGAGGAAGACCAGUGGCGAAGGCGGGUCUCUGGACAGUUCCUGACACUGAGGCACGAAGGCCAGGGGAGCAAACGGG